GGCGCCGCGGCGGCCGCGGAGCCCGGGGACCCCGCCCAGGUGAGCGGGGCUGGCCGUGCAGCCCGUCGUCCCCGCCGCCUCCCCACCCCACGCCGAGGUUCCCGUGGCGAGGGCGGGCACUGGGCGCGGGGCGACAGGGUCGUGCCGAGGACCGUCGGCUCGGCUCCGGUGCUGGAAGCGUAGACUUCGGCCCCAAUCCUCUGGCCCGGUUCGCGGAGGGAAGGGGCCAGCAGGCUGCUUGCCCCCUCGUCAGGGGCUCCCCUGCUCCUUCUCUAGAGAGCCCGCAAGCCCCGGGGUCGCCGGCGUCCAGACCUGCCCGCGCCAGAGCUGUGGACCGAGCUGACCGGCCUGAUCGGUAGGUGCGGGCUGGGAGCCCCGCUGUGCGAGGGCGGUGCCGGGACCUCCCUGGGAGGGCGGAGGCCUGGUUCUAGCACGUGACCCGAAAUGCCUCCCGCUCCCCUCCAUGACCGGCAGGCAGCUCCGAGCCUGAAAAUGGGUCGGAAAGCGGAGCCGAGGGCCGCGCAGCAGCUGUGUCCCUGGAGGAGGCCCUCCUGCGCCUCGCCGAGUUCCUCUCCGUCCAGCUGGGGGCGGAAGAGAGCUGCGGGAGCCCGGCCGACCUGGGCCAGGUGAGCUCGGCGGAGGGGCUGCUGGCAGCUGUCACCUGCCAGGCCUUCUUGGCUCUCACAGCCCUGCUCCGAUUUUUAUCUCCUUCACAGUCUGGCGAGGUCCCCCCACUGUUGACAGUGACCAGUCAGCUCUUGGCCCUUCUGGCAUGGCUUCGGAGCCCCAGGGGGAGGCAGGCCCUGCUCCAGGGAACUCAGCCAGCCCCUCGGGUCCGGCCCCCCACUCCAGAUGGAUCCACAUCCCAAGAAGAAAGCACUUCCCACCUCGCCGCAGUCCCAGGGGAGCCACUGGGGGAUGAGGCCCAGGGACAGCAGCCCCUCCAGUUGGAGGACGACCAGAGAGAGUGGCAGCGGCUGGAACAGCUCAUCCUCGGACAGCUGGAGGAGCUGAAGCAGCAGCUGGAACAGCAGGAGGAGGAGCUGGGUCGACUGCGCCUGGGCGUGGGGGCGACAGACUCAGAGAAAAGGGUUCAGCAUCUCACUCUGGAGAACGAGGCCCUGAAGCAGAGCCUGAGCCUCAUGCGGGACCUUCUGCUGCACUGGGGUCCCGGCCCCCCUACCAGGGCUCCGCAGGAGGAGGCGGAGGCAUUGGUGGAGCUUCAGGGCCGGCUUCAGGAGGCCCAGGACACCACAGAAGCCCUCCGAGCCCAGGACUUCGGGCACGGAUGGCCAGCCUGCGUCAGGGCUGCGGCGAUCUCCGAGGAUUGGUCAGCACCUUUACCCAGAGCUGUCAGGGUUCGCUGAGUGAGGCCCGGGGCCAGGUCAGGACCCCUCACCGCCUAGCCCCUCCUCUCUGGGCAGCCUAUUCACUGUUCUUUUGACGGGGGUGCUCCUGGGGAGUUGGCUGUACUAAUAAGUGGGGCUCUGGAACCCAAACAGCUUCUGUGUGACCCAGGCUGGGACUUCGCUUCUGGGUCUGGUUUUCAUCAUGUGCAUACUUGGGUGACAGUAAACUCUUUUUUUUUUCAAUUUUAAUAAUAAAUUUUAUUUAUUCUAAUAGAUCUCUUUUUUUUUUUUGAGACGGAGUCUCGCUGUGUCGCCCAGGCUGGAGUGCAGUGGUGCGAUCUCGGCUCGCUGCAAGCUCUGCCUCCUGGGUUCACGCCAUUCUCCUGCCUCAGCCUCCAAGUA
ensembl:lincRNA